rnacentral:tRNA from 1 species
GCCGCUGUGGCGGAAUUGGUAGACGCGCAUCGUUCAGGUCGAUGUGAGAUUACUCUCAUGCAGGUUCGAUUCCUGUCAGCGGCA